GCAGGGGUAGCAAAGCUUGGUCUAACGCGACGGGUUUAGGACCCGUUCCCUUUGUGGGUUCGUGGGUUCAAAUCCCACCCCCUGCA
rnacentral:tRNA from 1 species